CUCAAUAUCUAUCAGUUAUAUUGUUGAUCUUGCUUAAGAUUUUUCACACCUUUCAUUAACUAAGUCAAUAACAAGGACACAAAAUUUGAAGAAGAUUGAACUUACUAAUUAGAAGUUCAAUCCUAAAUUUUUCUUGGAUUUUGGCUAGCCUCCUACUCCAAUCUGAAUGUUAAACUUCUAAUACCAAUAUUUCCUUCUUGAACCAUUGAACUACUUCCAAAAUUCAUCUUUAUUAUUUAAAAUCAAGUCUAAUCUCUAUACAAAAGAAAUCCACUUCAAUUCUAUUGACAAAUUACCAAAGAGCUUAAAAAUACUCACUAACCCUCAAAUUCUAAUUUUUGAGACCUCAACCUACAAAAACCUUUACUUACCUUAAUCUAACCAUUUGAUUGACUUCAAAAUUUGCACACAUAUUUAUAACUAAUACACCAAUACU
rnacentral:lncRNA from 1 species